rnacentral:lncRNA from 1 species
AUGUGUCAAGAGACCUUGGACCUAUAUGAAGUUCACGCUUCCACUCCAGCAAUAAAAUCGGUUGUGCAACGCAGCGUGUGUGCGAUCCUCGCAGCUCCCCCGGCAAAGCCCCGCUGCAGCUCCCCAAAGCCCCUCGCACCCGGGGACCCCGCUGCAGCCGCCCCCUCCCCGUCCCAGCUCCAGCCGGGCUCCCGAGGGGCCGGGACACAGGGCACGAAGUUGCCCCCGCUCCCUGGGCUCGCCCCGGGGCCGGCCGGGCUGCGGGAGCCGCCGAGCCCCGAGCGGGGGCCGGGCAGGGCUCCGGGGCAGCCCCAAAGCGCCCCCAAAGCGCCCCGCAGCCGGCCGGGAGGGCGCAGGCCCCGUCCCCGGCGCCGUGCCGCCCGCUUACCGGCAGAGCUCGGCGAAGGCCUGGAAAUUGAGCUUCCUGAUCUUCUUCUCGCUCAGCCAGUAGCCCACCCGCUUCCCCUUCAGGAAGGUCUGCAUGGUGCCGGGCGCGCUUCUCCCGGGCGCCCCGGCUGCUGCUGCUGCUGGUGGUGCUGCUGCGCGGUGCUGCUGCAGCCGCUCAGCUCCCCAUUUGCCCGCUAUUCGCAGCCGCCUCCACUUCCUCCUCCUCCUCCUCCUCCUCCUCCUCGUCCCUCCCUCCCUCCGCCCCGGCCCCGGCUCCGGCCCCGCCCCGUGCAGCCCGGCCGGGCCCGCCCCGCAGCCCCCGGUGCGGUGCCGGGGCCGGGGCCGAGGUGCCCGGGGCUGCCGCGGGGCUGCGUCCUUCACGGCAAAAAUAACGAAAAUGAGUAAAGAUGUGAGUUCUGGCCGCGCAGCCCAGGGUCUGCCUUCUGCCAGCGCUUGGCAAGCGUCUGGAAGGGCUUACACGGAACUUUCAAUAACAGCUACUUGUCCUUUAACUUCAUUUUUUUCAGGAGACGAGGGUCGAGCGCCAGCAUGAGCUGGCAUUCACCCCUCCUCCUCCUUUUUUCUUUUUUUUUUUUUUUUUUUGAGAAGUGCAUUCCUAAAUGCCUUGGCAGCCGCUCUCCUCUGAUUCCAGAUGAAGAAUACUUCAGCCUGAGUUACUGUGGCACCUCACAGCCCCAGCAUCAUUUCCCCACCCUUCUUUCUCCCCUCGAUCCAACAUGAGUAUCACCCACCCCAAAUGCUCGUGGGUUGACUCGUGUUUUGGUUUUGGUCUUCUCUUUUCGGGGGGUAGAAGAAUGAUUCCUUCGCAGGGGUUUGGCAGCACCUGAGACGUGGACGAUGCUCUCGGGCUGUGCAGCUGUGGCUGUGCUGACUCACGGUGCCACCGCGAGUGCGGCCUCGCAGCCUCAGCAGGGCAUCGGAAACUGGUGGGAGCACCCGUCCGAGGGAAGGAAGGGGUAAAGCCAGGGAAGCCUUAAGAAAUAUGAAAGGGGUCGUUGGCCUAGGGAGUAGGUAGAGACCGUUUUACAUUCCUUUCGUUAUUUACAUUAACAGUGAAGUCAUCCUGAGCCAGGGGUAUAUUGGAAAGUAUGUGGGGAGUGGAGUCGCCUACAAACAGCUCACACUGAAGUUGUUGGAAAACCUAUAAAGUAGUACUCCUUGUCCAUUUGCAGGGGCCUUGGAUAAUAAAUGUUUAUUUUUCUACUUCGGAUAAUCA